UCGUAACAAGGUUUCCGUAGGUGAACCUGCGGAAGGAUCAUUAGUGAAUAUAGGACGUCCAACUUAACUUGGAGUCCGAACUCUCACUUUCUAACCCUGUGCAUUUGUUUGGGAUAGUAACUCUCGCAAGAGGGCGAACUCCUAUUCACUUAUAAACACAAAGUCUAUGAAUGUAUUAAAUUUUAUAACAAAAUAAAACUUUCAACAACGGAUCUCUUGGCUCUCGCAUCGAUGAAGAACGCAGCGAAAUGCGAUAAGUAAUGUGAAUUGCAGAAUUCAGUGAAUCAUCGAAUCUUUGAACGCACCUUGCGCUCCAUGGUAUUCCGUGGAGCAUGCCUGUUUGAGUGUCAUGAAUACUUCAACCCUCCUCUUUCUUAAUGAUUGAAGAGGUGUUUGGUUUCUGAGCGCUGCUGGCCUUUAGGGUCUAGCUCGUUCGUAAUGCAUUAGCAUCCGCAAUCGAACUUCGGAUUGACUUGGCGUAAUAGACUAUUCGCUGAGGAAUUCUAGUCUUCGGACUAGAGCCGGGUUGGGUUAAAGGAAGCUUCUAAUCAGAAUGUCUACAUUUUAAGAUUAGAUCUCAAAUCAGGUAGGACUACCCGCUGAACUUAAGCAUAUCA
rnacentral:misc_RNA from 1 species